CUACGUGCCAGCAGCCGCGGUAAUACGUAGGUGGCAAGCGUUGUCCGGAUUUAUUGGGCGUAAAGCGAGCGCAGGCGGAAGAAUAAGUCUGAUGUGAAAGCCCUCGGCUUAACCGAGGAACUGCAUCGGAAACUGUUUUUCUUGAGUGCAGAAGAGGAGAGUGGAACUCCAUGUGUAGCGGUGGAAUGCGUAGAUAUAUGGAAGAACACCAGUGGCGAAGGCGGCUCUCUGGUCUGCAACUGACGCUGAGGCUCGAAAGCAUGGGUAGCG
rnacentral:rRNA from 1 species